ACAAUAGGACUUUCCACUGAAAGGUGGAAAGCCCUAAUAAUAAACAGAACAAUAACAAUAGGACUUUCCACUGAAAGGUGGAAAGCCCUAAUAAUUGAGACGAAAGUGCCACGUAUUGAAUACAUUUGGCAAUCCUAGGUCAGAAUGGGAACUUGAGUCAUGUAAGUGACAUUUUCACGUAAAAAAUGCGCGUUUGCAUAAAUUUAGAAUUCUCGUAUUCUGUUGAUUUCUACAUUUCAAGAUUGGCAACUGACCAGGUGUAAAGGUGCACAUUUUCCGUUCUCGGAUGGAAAAAGGGGUGGGUUCGAUUCCCUCAGUCAGUUCACAAGGAAAUGUUGAGUCGCCGUGCGUAAAAAAAAAUCAAUUUUCGCAUUCGUCAAGGCGUAAAAGAAUGGCAGGUGGUGAGUGUUUAAAACACUAGUGAUCCUAAUUGUUCGCGAACAAUUAGAGGGCUUCCCACCUUCUAGCGGUUUUUCAGUAGUGUUGAAAUGCUAAAAGCCCCCCCCCCCCCCCUACCCUACCCCACCCCACCCUCACGGGGAAAAAAAAAAAAAAAAAAAAAAUGGAUUUGGCUAGAAAAGAAAUUCAAAUUUGCCACCUAAAUUUGAGUGUUGAGGUGUGUUCAAUGCUUGGUUUCGCAUUAAGUACCCGUCAAAUUUGAGGGAGAAAAGGGGUGUGGGUGUUGGGUAGCCAGCACAUAUGCACAUAUCAGGUAAAAGUGUAAUAGGACUUGUGCAGGUGUUUGGGGGUGACUUUAGACCUGUUAGAUAGGAUAUUUGGAGGUGCAAAGAAACCGGAUGUAACAUUUUCCUAGAUUGUAACUGCUCGUGCAUGCUGGGAGUCUACAAGCCUCAUGUUGAUGUUGUGAAGAUGCACUGGAUUUUACCGUUUGUGUUGUGGAUUGUGGAAUUGAAUAUACAGUUUGUAAUUGCUCAUCCUAUGUGUUCUAAUUACGGAGACAAUGUCUUUCAGUCAUUUCACCCAAGGAGGCAUGCAUAUACGGAUUUAUAGGCUUUGACAACAAACAACCAAAAUGGCGGCCGGUGAAUUAGAAAGUGUCUGAGUGCAUGUAGGAUAUCUGAACGGAGAAUAGGAGUACUGCAUCCCAUCUGAUCCUGCAGUCAUUUCACCCAAGGAGGCAUGCAUAUACGGAUUGAUAGGCUUUGACAACAAACAACCAAAAUGGCGGCCGGUGAAUUAGAAAGUGUCUGAGUGCAUGUAGGAUAUCUGAACGGAGAAUAGGAGUACUGCAUCCCAUCUGAUCCUGCAGUCAUUUCACCCAAGGAGGCAUGCAUAUACGGAUUGAUAGGCUUUGACAACAAACAACCAAAAUGGCGGCCGGUGAAUUAGAAAGUGUCUGAGUGCAUGUAGGAUAUCUGAACGGAGAAUAGGAGUACUGCAUCCCAUCUGAUCCUGCAGGUAAGUGUUUAUUUGUUUACAAUGACAGUCGGGAUGGAAUGUCAAUGAGUUCAACUGUCAAGUAAAGUUGCAUCAUCAUUAUCAAAAAAAAAAACAACUUAGUCUUUAUGUUGAUGCAGGCAGACAAUUGAAUCUGGCCUAUGUCUUUUCAUGAAUGUAAAUGGAAUUCAUGUUUGAUUGACAAGACAGUCAAGAAAUGGAAGAAGUGGGUGUAGGUCAGAUGUGUAGGUGUAGGUCAGUUUAGCUAGAAUCCUGUAAUUGUUGCAUGGCAUGAGACCGGUCAAAAUAGUGUAUUGAAACAGCUGAUCACAAUCAGAUCACUUGAAGGGUGGGGGAUUUCUUCCUUGGGGACGACAGGCGUGAUGGGUGGGUUGGCCUUACUCGUGGAGACUGGCCCCUGGAUGCGUGACCUUGACCUUUGACCUUGACCCACUUUCAAGGUCAAACCUCAAAAACCCAUGGGGGGGGAAAGUGUGACCUUGACCUUUGACCUUGACCUCAUUUUGAAGGUCAGAGAGGUCACGGGGCUUCGUUUAAGUGGUCCCGCAUCCCUAUCUACAUCCGUGAAGAAGUUGUGGGCUCGAACGACGACGUCGGAGACUUUCGGGGGCGAGAACCGUGCUUCGGGGUUCUCGGUUUCCCUCGGUCAACUUUUCUGUGCGAGAGCGUUUCAUCUGGAAUUCGUCGGCGAAGGUCUCGCCUCUCCACGACUUGCGGUCUAGUGAGAGUAGCGAUAACGGGGUUUUCGACGUUAAGUCGCCGCCAUUCGCAGAGUGGUCAAAGUUCAGAGUUGACAUUCGUGAUGCCGAGACCGGUCCAAAAUUCCUUGCUGACCCAUGUGAUAUUUCGAUGCUAUCUGAAGCGUGAAAGAGCGUAUAAAAAGUGCCAUUUUCUGGCCAUUCUGGAUGACCUUGACCUUUGACCUUGACCUACUUUUUCAAGGUCAAGGUCACCCAACCCGUCCCAGUGGGUUCCGUCUCUCUACGACGAAGACUUUAGGAGUCGUCAAUUUGUAGGGGACAAAUCGCAAAACAUGAGGGGGCAUUAACUCCCUUUAGGGGACACCGAAUCCCUUCAUUUGAAAUUCUUCGCUUCUACUAAUUACCCUCUGUGUUUUAGAAAAGGUUUCAUCCUCCUAUCAUUUACGGUUACAAAGUAGAAGUGCUAACAAUGAUUUCUGCGAAAGGUCAAAUAACUCCGUAAGGGGUCAAAGUUCAAUUACGCAGGGUGAACUGUAUUCGUUUCUCAAGAAGUACUAUAUGAUGGACUAUAAAGUUUUUCGAUAAGUCUUAAGACGAAGAUUUUUUUUGACGGCAGGAAAAUAAUAAUAAUAAUAAUAAUAAUAAUAAUAAUAAUAAACAGAACAAUAACAAUAGGACUUUCCACUGAAAGGUGGAAAGCCCUAAUAAUAAACAGAACAAUAACAAUAGGACUUUCCACUGAAAGGUGGAAAGCCCUAAUAAUUGAGACGAAAGUGCCACGUAUUGAAUACAUUUGGCAAUCCUAGGUCAGAAUGGGAACUUGAGUCAUGUAAGUGACAUUUUCACGUAAAAAAUGCGCGUUUGCAUAAAUUUAGAAUUCUCGUAUUCUGUUGAUUUCUACAUUUCAAGAUUGGCAACUGACCAGGUGUAAAGGUGCACAUUUUCCGUUCUCGGAUGGAAAAAGGGGUGGGUUCGAUUCCCUCAGUCAGUUCACAAGGAAAUGUUGAGUCGCCGUGCGUAAAAAAAAAUCAAUUUUCGCAUUCGUCAAGGCGUAAAAGAAUGGCAGGUGGUGAGUGUUUAAAACACUAGUGAUCCUAAUUGUUCGCGAACAAUUAGAGGGCUUCCCACCUUCUAGCGGUUUUUCAGUAGUGUUGAAAUGCUAAAAGCCCCCCCCCCCCCCCUACCCUACCCCACCCCACCCUCACGGAAAAAAAAAAAAAAAAAAAAAAAAAUGGAUUUGGCUAGAAAAGAAAUUCAAAUUUGCCACCUAAAUUUGAGUGUUGAGGUGUGUUCAAUGCUUGGUUUCGCAUUAAGUACCCGUCAAAUUUGAGGGAGAAAAGGGGUGUGGGUGUUGGGUAGCCAGCACAUAUGCACAUAUCAGGUAAAAGUGUAAUAGGACUUGUGCAGGUGUUUGGGGUGACUUUAGACCUGUUAGAUGUGAUAUUUGGAGGUGCAAAGAAACCGGAUGUGCCAUUUUCCUAGAUUGUAGUAACUGCUGGUGCAUGCUGGGAGUCUAUACAAGCCUCAUGUUGUCAGAUGUUGUGAAGAUGCACUGGAUUUGACCGUGUGUGUUGUGGAUUGUGGAAUUGAAUAUACAGUUUGUAAUGGCUCAUCCUAUGUGUUCUAAUUCACGGAGACAAUGUCUUUCAGUCAUUUCACCCAAGGAGGCAUGCAUAUACGGAUUGAUAGGCUUUGACAACAAACAACCAAAAUGGCGGCCGGUGAAUUAGAAAGUGUCUGAGUGCAUGUAGGAUAUCUGAACGGAGAAUAGGAGUACUGCAUCCCAUCUGAUCCUGCAGGUAAGUGUUUAUUUGUUUACAAUGACAGUCGGGAUGGAAUGUCAAUGAGUUCAACUGUCAAGUAAAGUUGCAUCAUCAUUAUCAAAAAAAAAAACAACUUAGUCUUUAUGUUGAUGCAGGCAGACAAUUGAAUCUGGCCUAUGUCUUUUCAUGAAUGUAAAUGGAAUUCAUGUUUGAUUGACAAGACAGUCAAGAAAUGGAAGAAGUGGGUGUAGGUCAGAUGUGUAGGUGUAGGUCAGUUUAGCUAGAAUCCUGUAAUUGUUGCAUGGCAUGAGACCGGUCAAAAUAGUGUAUUGAAACAGCUGAUCACAAUCAGAUCACUUGAAGGGUGGGGGAUUUCUUCCUUGGGGACGACAGGCGUGAUGGGUGGGUUGGCCUUACUCGUGGAGACUGGCCCCUGGAUGCGUGACCUUGACCUUUGACCUUGACCCACUUUCAAGGUCAAACCUCAAAAACCCAUGGGGGGGGAAAGUGUGACCUUGACCUUUGACCUUGACCUCAUUUUGAAGGUCAGAGAGGUCACGGGGCUUCGUUUAAGUGGUCCCGCAUCCCUAUCUACAUCCGUGAAGAAGUUGUGGGCUCGAACGACGACGUCGGAGACUUUCGGGGGCGAGAACCGUGCUUCGGGGUUCUCGGUUUCCCUCGGUCAACUUUUCUGUGCGAGAGCGUUUCAUCUGGAAUUCGUCGGCGAAGGUCUCGCCUCUCCACGACUUGCGGUCUAGUGAGAGUAGCGAUAACGGGGUUUUCGACGUUAAGUCGCCGCCAUUCGCAGAGUGGUCAAAGUUCAGAGUUGACAUUCGUGAUGCCGAGACCGGUCCAAAAUUCCUUGCUGACCCAUGUGAUAUUUCGAUGCUAUCUGAAGCGUGAAAGAGCGUAUAAAAAGUGCCAUUUUCUGGCCAUUCUGGAUGACCUUGACCUUUGACCUUGACCUACUUUUUCAAGGUCAAGGUCACCCAACCCGUCCCAGUGGGUUCCGUCUCUCUACGACGAAGACUUUAGGAGUCGUCAAUUUGUAGGGGACAAAUCGCAAAACAUGAGGGGGCAUUAACUCCCUUUAGGGGACACCGAAUCCCUUCAUUUGAAAUUCUUCGCUUCUACUAAUUACCCUCUGUGUUUUAGAAAAGGUUUCAUCCUCCUAUCAUUUACGGUUACAAAGUAGAAGUGCUAACAAUGAUUUCUGCGAAAGGUCAAAUAACUCCGUAAGGGGUCAAAGUUCAAUUACGCAGGGUGAACUGUAUUCGUUUCUCAAGAAGUACUAUAUGAUGGACUAUAAAGUUUUUCGAUAAGUCUUAAGACGAAGAUUUUUUUUGACGGCAGGAAAAUAAUAAUAAUAAUAAUAAUAAUAAUAAUAAUAAUAAACAGAACAAUAACAAUAGGACUUUCCACUGAAAGGUGGAAAGCCCUAAUAAUAAACAGAACAAUAACAAUAGGACUUUCCACUGAAAGGUGGAAAGCCCUAAUAAUUGAGACGAAAGUGCCACGUAUUGAAUACAUUUGGCAAUCCUAGGUCAGAAUGGGAACUUGAGUCAUGUAAGUGACAUUUUCACGUAAAAAAUGCGCGUUUGCAUAAAUUUAGAAUUCUCGUAUUCUGUUGAUUUCUACAUUUCAAGAUUGGCAACUGACCAGGUGUAAAGGUGCACAUUUUCCGUUCUCGGAUGGAAAAAGGGGUGGGUUCGAUUCCCUCAGUCAGUUCACAAGGAAAUGUUGAGUCGCCGUGCGUAAAAAAAAAUCAAUUUUCGCAUUCGUCAAGGCGUAAAAGAAUGGCAGGUGGUGAGUGUUUAAAACACUAGUGAUCCUAAUUGUUCGCGAACAAUUAGAGGGCUUCCCACCUUCUAGCGGUUUUUCAGUAGUGUUGAAAUGCUAAAAGCCCCCCCCCCCCCCCUACCCUACCCCACCCCACCCUCACGGAAAAAAAAAAAAAAAAAAAAAAAAAUGGAUUUGGCUAGAAAAGAAAUUCAAAUUUGCCACCUAAAUUUGAGUGUUGAGGUGUGUUCAAUGCUUGGUUUCGCAUUAAGUACCCGUCAAAUUUGAGGGAGAAAAGGGGUGUGGGUGUUGGGUAGCCAGCACAUAUGCACAUAUCAGGUAAAAGUGUAAUAGGACUUGUGCAGGUGUUUGGGGUGACUUUAGACCUGUUAGAUGUGAUAUUUGGAGGUGCAAAGAAACCGGAUGUGCCAUUUUCCUAGAUUGUAGUAACUGCUGGUGCAUGCUGGGAGUCUAUACAAGCCUCAUGUUGUCAGAUGUUGUGAAGAUGCACUGGAUUUGACCGUGUGUGUUGUGGAUUGUGGAAUUGAAUAUACAGUUUGUAAUGGCUCAUCCUAUGUGUUCUAAUUCACGGAGACAAUGUCUUUCAGUCAUUUCACCCAAGGAGGCAUGCAUAUACGGAUUGAUAGGCUUUGACAACAAACAACCAAAAUGGCGGCCGGUGAAUUAGAAAGUGUCUGAGUGCAUGUAGGAUAUCUGAACGGAGAAUAGGAGUACUGCAUCCCAUCUGAUCCUGCAGGUAAGUGUUUAUUUGUUUACAAUGACAGUCGGGAUGGAAUGUCAAUGAGUUCAACUGUCAAGUAAAGUUGCAUCAUCAUUAUCAAAAAAAAAAA